rnacentral:rRNA from 1 species
GAAACCGAGUCUUAAUUGGGCGUUAAGUUGCAGGGUAUAGACCCGAAACCCGGUGAUCUAGCCAUGGGCAGGUUGAAGGUUGGGUAACACUAACUGGAGGACCGAACCGACUAAUGUUGAAAAAUUAGCGGAUGACCUGUGGCUGGGGGUGAAAGGCCAAUCAAACCGGGAGAUAGCUGGUUCUCCCCGAAAGCUAUUUAGGUAGCGCCUCGUGAAUUCAUCUCCGGGGGUAGAGCACUGUUUCGGCUAGGGGGCCAUCCCGGCUUACCAACCCGAUGCAAACUGCGAAUACCGGAGAAUGUUAUCACGGGAGACACACGGCGGGUGCUAACGUCCGUCGUGAAGAGGGAAACAACCCAGACCGCCAGCUAAGGUCCCAAAGUCAUGGUUAAGUGGGAAACGAUGUGGGAAGGCCCAGACAGCCAGGAUGUUGGCUUAGAAGCAGCCAUCAUUUAAAGAAAGCGUAAUAGCUCACUGGUCGAGUCGGCCUGCGCGGAAGAUGUAACGGGGCUAAACCAUGCACCGAAGCUGCGGCAGCGAACGUAUCACCCAAGACAACUUUACGGAGUUGACGAUUGACGGAGCGAAGCGACGUCAAAGCGUUCAUUAAAGUCGAGUUGGCUUAGGGAUACGUUCGUUGGGUAGGGGAGCGUUCUGUAAGCCUGUGAAGGUGUGUCGUGAGGCAUGCUGGAGGUAUCAGAAGUGCGAAUGCUGACAUAAGUAACGAUAAAGCGGGUGAAAAGCCCGCUCGCCGGAAGACCAAGGGUUCCUGUCCAACGUUAAUCGGGGCAGGGUGAGUCGACCCCUAAGGCGAGGCCGAAAGGCGUAGUCGAUGGGAAACGGGUUAAUAUUCCCGUACUUGGUGUUACUGCGAAGGGGGGACGGAGAAGGCUAUGUUGGCCGGGCGACGGUUGUCCCGGUUUAAGCGUGUAGGCUGGUUUUCCAGGCAAAUCCGGAAAAUCAAG